rnacentral:misc_RNA from 1 species
CAGGAAAUUUCUUGAGCAAUAUAUUAAGUAAUAAUUAUUAUACAUUCCAAUAUUCACUUGAUAUAAACAUAGCCAAGCAAAAUUUUAGUCCAUCAAUUUUGGAUAUACGCAACACUGUAUGCAUUUGUGUGAUGUCUAUAGCCAUGGACUUAAUAAUAUCUCUACCGCCAAGAACUUGUCUUCUUCUAAAUAAUGAAAUUGAGGCAUAGUAUCCCUUAAAAUUGGUAUCAUGAGGAACAAUGAUUGCAUAUAUUCUGAAGUGGAGAGGCGAAGUUUCGCGGAAGCUGUGUUUGCACAUGCAAGUGGGGUAGGGGAUGAUUUGGAGGUGGAGACGAUAAUGUUUGCAGUUACUCAGGGGUCAGGGGUCAGGGGUCAGGAUUAGGAUGGGGUAUUUGCAGGCAGUUUUUUUGGAGGCAAGUGAUAAUUGAAGCUUGGGAGAUAUGAAGGGAAGAUUUGAAACGGUAACAUUCUUG